GAUGAACGCUGGCGGCGUGCCUAAUACAUGCAAGUCGAGCGAACAGACGCGGAGCUUGCUCCUCUGACGUUAGCGGCGGACGGGUGAGUAACACGUGGCUAACCUACCUAUAAGACUGGGAUAACUUCGGGCAACCGGAGCUAAUACCGGACAAUAUAUUGAACUGCAUGGUUCAAUAGUUGAAGACGGUUUUGCUGUCACUUAUAGAUGGAUCCGCCCCGCAUUAGCUAGUUGGUAAGGUAACGGCUUACGAAGGCAACGAUGCGUAGCGGACCUGAGAGGGUUAUCGGCCACACGGGAACUGAGACACGGUCCAGACUCCGACGGGAGGCAACAGUAGGGAAUCUUACGGAAUGGGCGAAAGCCUGACGGAGCAACGUCGCGUGAGUGAUGAAGGUCUUAGGAUCGUAAAACUCUGUUAUUAGGGAAGUACAAAUGUGUAAGUAACUAUGCACGUCUUGACGGUACCUUAUCAGAAAGCCACGGCUAACUACGUG
rnacentral:rRNA from 1 species